rnacentral:rRNA from 1 species
GAUGUCGACUUGGAGGUUGUGCCCUUGAGGCGUGGCUUCCGGAGCUAACGCGUUAAGUCGACCGCCUGGGGAGUACGGCCGCAAGGUUAAAACUCAAAUGAAUUGACGGGGGCCCGCACAAGCGGUGGAGCAUGUGGUUUAAUUCGAUGCAACGCGAAGAACCUUACCUGGCCUUGACAUCCACGGAAUUCGGCAGAGAUGCCUUAGUGCCUUCGGGAACCGUGAGACAGGUGCUGCAUGGCUGUCGUCAGCUCGUGUUGUGAAAUGUUGGGUUAAGUCCCGCAACGAGCGCAACCCUUAUCCUUUGUUGCCAGCGAGUAAUGUCGGGAACUCAAAGGAGACUGCCGGUGACAAACCGGAGGAAGGUGGGGAUGACGUCAAGUCAUCAUGGCCCUUACGGCCAGGGCUACACACGUGCUACAAUGGCGCAUACAAAGAGAAGCGAACUCGCGAGAGCAAGCGGACCUCACAAAGUGCGUCGUAGUCCGGAUCGGAGUCUGCAACUCGACUCCGUGAAGUCGGAAUCGCUAGUAAUCGUAGAUCAGAAUGCUACGGUGAAUACGUUCCCGGGCCUUGUACACACCGCCCGUCACACCAUGGGAGUGGGUUGCAAAAGAAGUAGGUAGCUUAACCUUCGGGAGGGCGCUUACCACUUUGUGAUUCAUGACUGGGGUGAAGUCGUAACAAGGUACCAAGGGCGAA